rnacentral:lncRNA from 1 species
GAGAGGUCUUGGCGAGGGCGACUUCUGCAUGAAGUAGGGGCCACAGGGGCCUUUGCUGGUUCUCAGAGGGUAUGGAGACAGCUGUGCUUGGAGGUGGGGCUGGACCGAUGGCUUCUUUACAUCUUCCUAGCUGGAGCCUUCAAGACUUCCGGUCUCAUUUCCUGCGGGGAAGGCUUAGAGUACCAGGACCAUCUUCCCGUGUGUGUCACUGUUGGCACGCCAGCUUGUCUUGCUCCACCCCAGCCUGUGGCACCAUGCAAUGCUUCAUGCUGGGGUGUAGGUGGGGUAGAGCCUCCCGGGCUCCAGGCUUGUGUGUGACCUCCUCACGGGCCCUGGCUCAACCUGGAGAUAUCCUGGGGUUCAGUAUAUCCUGACGAUGAGGAAAGGGCUUGUGGAGAGAAGCCAGCUGGGUCUGAGGGAGCUUGGAAGGGGUCGGAUUCUCUCUGGAAAGGAGUCGUGUGUAUGCAGCAUCUCUGGGCCUACGAAGAAUGGAGGCAGGUCUCCAUGGCUUGUUUUGAGGACACUUGGGCAGGCGGCUGGCCUUGCUUAGCUCAGAUGUGCACAUUUGUUCCUCCUCUGCUCCUGGAGGGCUGGACCCCCACGGCUUCUUCUACUGUGGCACUCGAGUGUCUACUAUCCAAAUCUUAAGGCCAGCAACUGGCCACACACUGUGGGUAGGCAGAGGGGGAGGAGGGGACUCUGGUCGCAGACAGGACCUCUGUAGGCCUGAAUGCGUUAUGGUGGCUGACCCCGCUUACUAAGAAGGGCUUGUCCUCUGUGUGGCAGUGUCUUCUCUAGCUCACUCCUCCACCCAGGGUCUCUGUGCUAAUCCCACUGGGCAAGAUGGUCAGCCCUGUUGGCCUCGUUCACAACUCUGCGUCCUCCUUCAGCAGUGACAUCCUGAGACUUGGGCCUUCAGGUUCACGCAGGACAGAAUAGGGUCUGUGUCUCUGACUAGACUUCAGGGGUUCCUCCCUUCCCUGAGUCUUGCUUUGUCUGUCCAUCUCUGCUUUUUCCUAGGAUAUACACACCCUCUGUGGCCUUCUCUCCGCAGCCUCCUUGACCUGAGCCCGCUGCUGGCCUGGGAGGGUCUGUGUUCCCUGUGGCCAGCUGUCAAGGGUAGACUGCCCAGGCAGCUGAGGAGAGGACAAAGCCCUUCAGAGUGUUCUCAUCUUGGCCCUUGAGCUGUCUCCUGCUAGAGAAUAGUGGGGGUGGAGGUGGCAUCUUGAGGUGGUUCUAGUUUUGCUGCUGGUAGAAUUGGGUCCUCGUGCCCGAGCUGUCAGAGCCACAGCGGACAUUUCCGGCUACUUUGGCUUACUAUCAGGUUUCUGUGGACCGUAUGGGGUGGCUCUCAGGUGACAUAGGGAGUUUGGGGUCAGAGUUACAACAUCUGAGGGUACCCUUC